AUACGGAGGGAGCGAGCGUUAAUCGGAAUUACUGGGCGUAAAGCGCGCGUAGGCGGCUUUGUAAGUCGGAUGUGAAAGCCCUGGGCUCAACCUGGUAAUGGCAUUCGAAACUGCAUGGCUAGAGUAUGGUAGAGGGAAGUGGAAUUUCCGGUGUAGCGGUGAAAUGCGUAGAUAUCGGAAGGAACACCAGUGGCGAAGGCGACUUCCUGGGCCAAUACUGACGCUGAGGCGCGAAAGCGUGGGUAGCAAACAGGAUUAGAAACCCCAGUAGUCC
rnacentral:rRNA from 1 species